rnacentral:rRNA from 1 species
ACCAGCAGCCGCGGUAAUUCCAGCUCCAAUAGCGUAUAUUAAAGUUGUUGCAGUUAAAAAGCUCGUAGUUGAAUUUCGGGGUCAGUAGAUUGGUCAUGCCUCCGGUAUGCACUGGUCUUACUGGCUCCUCCUUCCUGAUGAACCGUAAUGCCAUUAAUUUGGUGUUGCGGGGAGACUGGACUGUUACUUGAAAAAAUUAGAGUGUUUAAAGCAGGCUAACGCUUGAAUACAUUAGCAUGGAAUAAUGAAAUAGGACGUUCGAUCUUAUUUUGUUAGGUUUCUAAGAUUGACGUAAUGAUUAAUAGGGAUAGUUAGGGGGCAUUAGUAUUCAAUUGUCAGAGGUGAAAUUCUUGGAUUUAUUGAAGACUAACUACUGCGAAAGCAUUUGCCAAGGAUGUUUUCAUUAAUCAAGAACGAAAGUUAGGGGGGAUCGAAGACGAUCACGAUACCGUCGUAGUCUUAACCAUAAACUAUGCCGACUAGGGAUCGGAUGAUGUUAAUUUUUUAAUGACUCAUUCGGUCGCCUUAUG